CUGUGUCUGAUUACUGAUGUUGUCAGCUCAUACGUCUAUAUGUUUUGAGCUAUUUCGCCUGUGGGGCCUAGGUGUUUCUUCUUUUGGACUUUGUUUUCUUUAUGGUUAAUGUUUGUUACUUUGGGGACUGUGGAGCUUGUGCAGAACACCUAGUCCAGAUUGGGUCUGAUUGAGGCGUACACAUGCAAGAGGGACCUGGGGGUCAAGGAUCCUUUUGAAAUGCAGCUUGUAAAGAUCCAUCCAGCACUCCGCUGCAGCUCUGAGUCCACGUGUGGCUCGCUCAUGCCUGCUGUCAGCUCCCAUUACCUAAUUGGAAUUGAGAUGCAUCUGGCCUGCGUUUUUGUCUGCACUGCACUCCUUAUGAAGAAACCACCCCCCCCUCCCCCUCCUCAAACUCCAACUCCAUCUUACAAACGAGGAUGCUUAUUCAUGCUGUCCUGCUGAGUGAGGCUUUCUCUCCUCCCAUGAUGUGUGGUCAAACACUCAUUUACAAAAUAAAAUGAGAGAUGGCACUGAGCAGGUCUGCAUAAAUACAACUCCAUGCGGUUCAGUACAGUUAAUAAGAGCUCUGUUUAAUUCAUGAGAUCUGUCAUGCUACAGUAGCUUCGUCGUCACAGCAGCUUCUGUACUUCAAACUCCUUAAUCUGUCAGCAUCUAUGACCUUGCAUAUCCUGGUCCAAGAUCAGGAGAGACAUUUCUGCAGCCAAGUUUCCAUCCAAAUGUUGUUGAGCAUCAUGAGGCCGGAUAACUAAGCAUGAAGAAGAAAAAAAAAAGCUUCAAUCACAUUAUGGAUAGUGGUUUUCCUUUUCACUGUAGUUUAGGAAGAAUGAUUUGUCCUUCUGUGAGGGGAAGUCUAUGAGCAGCCUGUCACAUCAAAUGGAUUACAGCUCAUUAAUUUUCAUUAACUCAGCAGAGAAACUACUGGAAAAUGACCCAAAUUUAAAGUGUUGAGGACAGCUUCUGUAAAACAUGAGCGCUCUGAGACAACAGGGACUUAAUUGUAAGUGAUAACAUUGUCCAACUCUUCGCCUUGUCCAUCACAUUCAGCUCAUUGGUUGUGUUAAGCUUAUGGAAAUGUAGCUUGAAAUACAUCAAAUGUUUGAAUGAUUUUUGAGUCUCAUUGUGCAUUUACAGCUAAGAUCAAAAUGGCCAUUUUUGGUGCUUUGACCAUUUCUGUAGACUGCUAAAUCACAUUUUAUUAACAUCUGUCUAGCUCAUCUGCACAGCAAGCAAAUUAGAGAGUUCACAUAAUUCAGCUUUAAAUGUUUGAGUAGCAAGAUUUGGAUUCUAAGAAGGAAGCAGAGGACAUUUUACAGCUUACAAUUUGGGAGGUAGAGCCUUCAGUUAUAAGAUCCCUCUGCUUUGGAGUCAGAUACCAGUCAGGGUCCAGGAGGCAGAUCUCCUCUCUGCUUAUAAAACAUUCCUUUCUGAUAAAGCUUAUAAACUGGCUCAGGCUUGGACUAGCUACUAGUUAUUCUGCUAUAGGCUUAGACUGCUGGAGGACGUGACACACUGGGCUCCUGUCUGUCCCUCUGUCUGUAUGCAUUCACAUCAUAUUACUGCAUAACUAUUUAUAAAAUUUCAUUGAAGUUGCUAACCACAUAGCUUCUGUGGAGCUCCUGAGCUCUCUUGCCUCAUAGGUUCCUCUGGAUCGUUGGUGUGGACAUCCGGCCGCUGUGGACCCUCCUGUAUCCAACUUCUACAAAACAUCAGCCACACUUCCAGUAUUGCUUUUACAAAUACUAAAGUAAAUCUAAGAGAUGCUGCUAUGAUUACCAAUUUCAGAACCCCUCCAUUUCAUUAUCAUUAUAGUUUCUGAUGUUAAUAUAAGACUGAUCAGUCUCAUGCGUUGUUGUUCCUUCCGUCAUUUCUGACAUUGUAACUAUAAAUCUUCUUCACUAUU